rnacentral:rRNA from 1 species
GACGAACGCUGGCGGCGUGCUUAACACAUGCAAGUCGAACGGAAAGGCCCUGCUUUUGUGGGGUGCUCGAGUGGCGAACGGGUGAGUAACACGUGAGUAACCUGCCCUUGACUUUGGGAUAACUUCAGGAAACUGGGGCUAAUACCGGAUAGGAGCUCCUGCCGCAUGGUGGGGGUUGGAAAGUUUCGGCGGUUGGGGAUGGACUCGCGGCUUAUCAGCUUGUUGGCGGGGUAGUGGCUUACCAAGGCUUUGACGGGUAGCCGGCCUGAGAGGGUGACCGGCCACAUUGGGACUGAGAUACGGCCCAGACUCCUACGGGAGGCAGCAGUGGGGAAUAUUGCACAAUGGGCGGAAGCCUGAUGCAGCAACGCCGCGUGCGGGAUGACGGCCUUCGGGUUGUAAACCGCUUUCGCCUGUGACGAAGCGUGAGUGACGGUGAUGGGUAAAGAAGCACCGGCUAACUACGUGCCAGCAGCCGCGGUGAUACGUAGGGUGCGAGCGUUGUCCGGAUUUAUUGGGCGUAAAGGGCUCGUAGGUGGUUGAUCGCGUCGGAAGUGUAAUCUUGGGGCUUAACCCUGAGCGUGCUUUCGAUACGGGUUGACUUGAGGAAGGUAGGGGAGAAUGGAAUUCCUGGUGGAGCGGUGGAAUGCGCAGAUAUCAGGAGGAACACCAGUGGCGAAGGCGGUUCUCUGGGCCUUUCCUGACGCUGAGGAGCGAAAGCGUGGGGAGCGAACAGGCUUAGAUACCCUGGUAGUCCACGCUGUAAACGGUGGGUACUAGGUGUGGGGUCCAUUCCACGGGUUCCGUGCCGUAGCUAACGCUUUAAGUACCCCGCCUGGGGAGUACGGCCGCAAGGCUAAAACUCAAAGGAAUUGACGGGGCCCCGCACAAGCGGCGGAGCAUGCGGAUUAAUUCGAUGCAACGCGUAGAACCUUACCUGGGUUUGACAUGGAUCGGGAGUGCUCAGAGAUGGGUGUGCCUCUUUUGGGGUCGGUUCACAGGUGGUGCAUGGCUGUCGUCAGCUCGUGUCGUGAGAUGUUGGGUUAAGUCCCGCAACGAGCGCAACCCUUGUUCACUGUUGCCAGCACGUUAUGGUGGGGACUCAGUGGAGACCGCCGGGGUCAACUCGGAGGAAGGUGGGGAUGACGUCAAGUCAUCAUGCCCCUUAUGUCCAGGGCUUCACGCAUGCUACAAUGGCUGGUACAGAGAGUGGCGAGCCUGUGAGGGUGAGCGAAUCUCGGAAAGCCGGUCUCAGUUCGGAUUGGGGUCUGCAACUCGACCUCAUGAAGUCGGAGUCGCUAGUAAUCGCAGAUCUGCAACGCUGCGGUGAAUACGUUCCCGGGGCU